rnacentral:lncRNA from 1 species
UAAAGGUGAAAUCACCCCAUGUCAUAUCGUUCGUCCAUCUGCCAUCACAUCUAAUCUCAUCCGCUCCAUCCAAUCUCAUCAGGUCCGGGCGCCCUAGUGGUUCGACGACCCUACCUCCCCACCGCUCGCACUCCUGUCGCGACGACUCCGCCUUUGCCCCCGCGCGCUGCGAUGACUCCGCCUCCUCCCGUCCCCACGCGAUGACUACGCCCCCAAGCGCUACUCGCUCCCUCCUCCCAUCCCCGCGCUACACCUCGCUCCGCGCUUCCUCGCUUCUUCCUGUCGUCGCGACCAUGGUCUGCCCCCACCGGCACCGGGGUGGUUCCCCCUUUCCACUGGAGCCCUGCCUGGACUACCCCGACUGCGCCGGGGUGGACGACGCCUCCGGCUACAUCGCCUCCAAGCCGUCUACUGCGGCCGGUAUACUGGAGGUGAUGAGGAGACCAGAGGAUAGGUUUGUGGUGAUUUCUUCCCAGCACCUACUUUUGGUUCGACUGGAUGAGGCAAUUAGCCAAACAAUAGCAGUGGUAGGGAUGCAAGCCAUGAUAGCCAUGGAGGCAAGCCUAUACCUCUCUGGAGCAGCAUUUGAUCCUCCUACAAUUGGAUCUUCAAAAACAAUUGUUAGGAGAGUACAUACCCAGACCUUUCUCAGCUUUGUAAUGGUCUAAAUACUAAAUUUGUUGUUUUUUGGUUCCUCUGUUUCAUAUUGCAGGCUAUUUCAUUGCUGCAGCCCACUACUCUUCUAGCUCUGCCGACAACCACACCUACAAGAGCUACAACUGAAGCAUCACAUAGGGCAGAUGAGGCAUCACAUGUCUGGCUUGGAUUCAAUUUGAUGUUGCACUUUGUAUAACUAUAUGCAGUUUCAGUUUCAUCUUCUGUUUCUACCACCUUGCAAUGUGAGUAAAUCAAUGUUAUAUUAACUUGAACCGAAAUUUUGAUGUUACAGAAAUUAAAUAAAUCUCAUCUACUAUAAAGAUUUUUAGUGGCCAUGUUUAAUGAAAUCAUGAGGUAAGUACAUAUUCAUGUUUUUUUAGAAAACUAGAGCUUCACAUAGACAGAUACCUAAUUUGUUGUCACUGGUAAGCAUGUUGUCGUUAGAGGAUUUUACAGUUUUCUGAAGUUUGUAAUUAAUUCAGUUCCUUUUUAAUGGGUUUCUCAUUGAAAUCGAGAGGGCAAGAACCAAACAAGCAAACAAUUGAAAUUAAAAGUAAGCUUGUUUUCUGCUUCACUUCAUCUUUUAUAUUUCUAUGGUAAAAUCCAGCCAUGUAGAUAAGUAAGAAAACAUAUAUAUGAACAUGUAUUUUCUAUUUCUACAGUUGACCUAAAAAGUAAGCUUCUUUUCUAUUUAUACAGUAAAAUUUGGCAAUGACAGAUCAUGAAGAUAACAUAUGAAUAUGCCAUUUCGUACCAAAAUUUGGAUAUAAUCUGGAACCGGCGAUUCACAUGGCUGUAUAGCAAAUCACUGUUUUAUAACAAAUCCAAUAUGAACUAACUUCCAACAGUGGGAAUACUUACAGAGGAGAAUAGAGAAGUGAUGCCUUGUACUAGAAUUGUCAAACAAUAAUAGCCGGCAACGAUUUAAGUGUAAACUUCUUAAUAGUCAUGGCAUUUCAGCUACAGUAGGGAAUAUUUAGACACAGGCAUUGGCUAUUUAAUUAUCUUUUGGCCUUGAUUUGGCAUAUUGAUGAGAAUUCUUUAUUUUGUUUUAUGGUGGCACUCUUGAAUCAUUAUGUAUAGAUAUUGAGCUUGCAUAUACAGGGACUAGGAGGAUUCUACAUUAUAGGGAACCAUCUUUGCCAGGUGUUCAACAAGUUUAGUGAUAGGACCCUAUAUGGCUUAUAUAUAUUCAAAGACAUUAUAGUGAACCAUCUUUGGAUAGGGCUUCGCGUGAAGUUCGUGUCAUAUGGUGUACUGAUGCACAAGAGUGUCUUGCAUUUGCAAUUCUAUACCAUAAUCGUGCUCCACGACAUAGCCGUUCAUUCUGAUUACUUUCAAUGGAUAAUGUACGAAGCCCUACAAUGCAAAAUUGUGCCACGACAGGUAUUCCAAAUCUCUCUGUACAUAUCGAGUAUAUGAUUAUAGCGCUACCAAAUAUUGGCC